rnacentral:rRNA from 1 species
UUAAGCGACUAAGCGUACACGGUGGAUGCCCUGGCAGUCAGAGGCGAUGAAGGACGUGCUAAUCUGCGAAAAGCGUCGGUAAGGUGAUAUGAACCGUUAUAACCGGCGAUGUCCGAAUGGGGAAACCCAGUGCAAUUCGUUGCACUAUCGUUAACUGAAUACAUAGGUUAACGAGGCGAACCGGGGGAACUGAAACAUCUAAGUACCCCGAGGAAAAGAAAUCAACCGAGAUUCCCCCAGUAGCGGCGAGCGAACGGGGAGCAGCCCAGAGUCUGAAUCAGCUUGUGUGUUAGUGGAACGGUCUGGAAAGUCCGACGGUACAGGGUGAUAGUCCCGUACACCAAAAUGCACAGGCUGUGAACUCGAAGAGUAGGGCGGGACACGUGGUAUCCUGUCUGAAUAUGGGGGGACCAUCCUCCAAGGCUAAAUACUCCUGACUGACCGAUAGUGAACCAGUACCGUGAGGGAAAGGCGAAAAGAACCCCGGCGAGGGGAGUGAAAAAGAACCUGAAACCGUGUACGUACAAGCAGUGGGAGCACCUUCGGGUGUGACUGCGUACCUUUUGUAUAAUGGGUCAGCGACUUAUAUUCUGUAGCAAGGUUAACCGUAUAGGGGAGCCGCAGGGAAACCGAGUCUUAACUGGGCGUUAAGUUGCAGGGUAUAGACCCGAAACCCGGUGAUCUAGCCAUGGGCAGGUUGAAGGUUGGGUAACACUAACUGGAGGACCGAACCGACUAAUGUUGAAAAAUUAGCGGAUGACUUGUGGCUGGGGGUGAAAGGCCAAUCAAACCGGGAGAUAGCUGGUUCUCCCCGAAAGCUAUUUAGGUAGCGCCUCGUGAAUUCAUCUUCGGGGGGUAGAGCACUGUUUCGGCUAGGGGUCAUCCCGACUUACCAACCCGAUGCAAACUACGAAUACCGAAGAAUGUUAUCACGGGAGACACACGGCGGGUGCUAACGUCCGUCGUGAAGAGGGAAACAACCCAGACCGCCAGCUAAGGUCCCAAAGUCAUGGUUAAGUGGGAAACGAUGUGGGAAGGCACAGACAGCCAGGAUGUUGGCUUAGAAGCAGCCAUCAUUUAAAGAAAGCGUAAUAGCUCACUGGUCGAGUCGGCCUGCGCGGAAGAUGUAACGGGGCUAAACCAUGCACCGAAGCUGCGGCAGCGACACUAUGUGUUGUUGGGUAGGGGAGCGUUCUGUAAGCCUGCGAAGGUGUGCUGUGAGGCAUGCUGGAGGUAUCAGAAGUGCGAAUGCUGACAUAAGUAACGAUAAAGCGGGUGAAAAGCCCGCUCGCCGGAAGACCAAGGGUUCCUGUCCAACGUUAAUCGGGGCAGGGUGAGUCGACCCCUAAGGCGAGGCCGAAAGGCGUAGUCGAUGGGAAACAGGUUAAUAUUCCUGUACUUGGUGUUACUGCGAAGGGGGGACGGAGAAGGCUAUGUUAGCCGGGCGACGGUUGUCCCGGUUUAAGCAUGUAGGCUGGUUGUCCAGGCAAAUCCGGAUAAUCAAGGCUGAGGUGUGAUGACGAGGCACUACGGUGCUGAAGUAACAAAUGCCCUGCUUCCAGGAAAAGCCUCUAAGCAUCAGGUAACAUCAAAUCGUACCCCAAACCGACACAGGUGGUCAGGUAGAGAAUACCAAGGCGCUUGAGAGAACUCGGGUGAAGGAACUAGGCAAAAUGGUGCCGUAACUUCGGGAGAAGGCACGCUGGUGUGUAGGUGAAGCCCCUGCGGGUGGAGCUGAGACCAGUCGAAGAUACCAGCUGGCUGCAACUGUUUAUUAAAAACACAGCACUGUGCAAACACGAAAGUGGACGUAUACGGUGUGACGCCUGCCCGGUGCCGGAAGGUUAAUUGAUGGGGUUAUCCGUAAGGAGAAGCUCUUGAUCGAAGCCCCGGUAAACGGCGGCCGUAACUAUAACGGUCCUAAGGUAGCGAAAUUCCUUGUCGGGUAAGUUCCGACCUGCACGAAUGGCGUAAUGAUGGCCAGGCUGUCUCCACCCGAGACUCAGUGAAAUUGAACUCGCUGUGAAGAUGCAGUGUACCCGCGGCAAGACGGAAAGACCCCGUGAACCUUUACUAUAGCUUGACACUGAACAUUGAGCCUUGAUGUGUAGGAUAGGUGGGAGGCUUUGAAGCGUGGACGCCAGUCUGCGUGGAGCCAACCUUGAAAUACCACCCUUUAAUGUUUGAUGUUCUAACGUUGGCCCCUUACCGGGGUUGCGGACAGUGUCUGGUGGGUAGUUUGACUGGGGCGGUCUCCUCCCAAAGCGUAACGGAGGAGCACGAAGGUUAGCUAAUCCUGGUCGGACAUCAGGAGGUUAGUGCAAUGGCAUAAGCUAGCUUGACUGCGAGCGUGACGGGCGCGAGCAGGUGCGAAAGCAGGUCAUAGUGAUCCGGUGGUUCUGAAUGGAAGGGCCAUCGCUCAACGGAUAAAAGGUACUCCGGGGAUAACAGGCUGAUACCGCCCAAGAGUUCAUAUCGACGGCGGUGUUUGGCACCUCGAUGUCGGCUCAUCACAUCCUGGGGCUGAAGUAGGUCCCAAGGGUAUGGCUGUUCGCCAUUUAAAGUGGUACGCGAGCUGGGUUUAGAACGUCGUGAGACAGUUCGGUCCCUAUCUGCCGUGGGCGCUGGAGAAUUGAGGGGGGCUGCUCCUAGUACGAGAGGACCGGAGUGGACGCAUCACUGGUGUUCGGGUUGUCAUGCCAAUGGCACUGCCCGGUAGCUAAAUGCGGAAGAGAUAAGUGCUGAAAGCAUCUAAGCACGAAACUUGCCCCGAGAUGAGUUCUCCCUGAGACUUUAAGUCUCCUGAAGGAACGUUGAAGACGACGACGUUGAUAGGCCGGGUGUGUAAGCGCAGCGAUGCGUUGAGCUAACCGGUACUAAUGAACCGUGAGGCUUAACCUU